rnacentral:rRNA from 1 species
UACGUAGGGUGCGAGCGUUAAUCGGAAUUACUGGGCGUAAAGUGUGCGCAGGCGGCCGAGCAAGUCGAGUGUGAAAGCCCCGAGCUUAACUUGGGAACUGCGCUCGAAACUACUUGGCUAGAGUGUGGCAGAGGGAGGUGGAAUUCCACGUGUAGCGGUGAAAUGCGUAGAGAUGUGGAGGAACACCGAUGGCGAAGGCAGCCUCCUGGGCCAACACUGACGCUCAUGCACGGAAGCGUGGGGAGCAAACAGG